CAGCGGGAAAGCCACCCAGGCCAGGAUGUAAGCAAAGCCAUAGGAGUAGUCGUUGUUGACAUGCCACUCACUGUGUCUCACUGUGUAGAUGGCCGCUGCACUCAUCACACACAGACCUGGAGGAGAAAGACAGCAGCACAGCAGCAUGGUAAGGCACCAGAAGAUAAGUAUUUGUCUACACAGCAAGUGGACUGCAGUCAGCUGCCACAUUAAGCUCUGGGGGUUUGCUGGACCUUGCCAGUGACUACUCAAAUCAGGCACAGCCGACAUGAUGUGGCUGACCUACCCAAUAAACCCUUAUUUUGUAAA